UUUUUGGUGUGUUCCGUGCGGUGGGAUUGUUUACGACACACGAAAUGUCAGCAGAUAACAACAUCUAAAUAAAGUUGAUGAGUUUUGUGCUUAUCCGCUUACAGUUUAGGACUUCCAAAGUACGAUGUGGUGUAAAAGUAGAACGCGCUAUUUUCACUUUUUCGUUAUAUAAAGUUUAAUGUAAUUGUUUCACUUCAGCAUCUGUUGUGAUGCUUUAUUAUACUCUUUUCCAAUAGAAAACUCUUUACCAGUGAAUAUUAAUCGUAUUGUUUGGAUUUUAAACACGAAUGUACAAGUGCUAUUUUCUCAACGCUCGGGUCUUUAAUGAAAAUGCAAGGAGACGAUCCUCCUUACUUAUCUGUGGGCACCGCAGUUAGUGCGAAAUAUAAAGGAGCAUUCUGCGAAGCCAAAGUU